GCGACGGCCGUCCACCUGCGACGGACCGAGCCGUGGACCAGAAUCGGGGAAGUCUGUCUGAUCCGUGGCUCAGAACUUUUGCUUUCCGUCCGAGGACGGCAGGCGCGGCUUGAAUGCAAGCCCUGUGUCGUCUACCCAGCGCCGCAGCCAUUGCCGUGAAGAGCGAUAGAGGGAGAGAGGGGAAGAACAAGCGACCGGCGCGCCAUGGAGUUCCUCACGCAGCCAAUCCGCAGAUCCACUAUGAUUGAGGAGGUCGGAGAGAGUCUAGUGCCGGAAGGUUCGCUGGCGGAUGGUACGAGGCGAAUGGGUUCGAGCGGCGACGGGCGGAUCUGCGGUGCGUCAGGAGCGGCGGCAAUUAGCGGCGAAGGGCGAAUCUGCAGCGCGGUUCAAGCGGCAGCAGUAAGAAGGGACAGCUAGCCUCCGACGUCGGAGCUGUCAGACAGGGAAGAUGAAUCCCCAGCCUCCUGGCUGGAAUAAGGGGUGAGGGGAAUAUAAUUUAAAUUUGAACAGUGCUAUGAAGAAUUUCAGGCUAUCUAUGGUCUUGCCUUCUUGCUUGAUUCUUUUGCCGGUAGAAAUCGAUGGUGUGAUAUGAAUUAGUGUGGUUGCUGGUUGGUUUGUACUGUUCAUUUAAUCUAUCAGUCCCGUGGUAAUCCAUGGUGUGAUGUGGAUUACUGUGGAAGGAUGCCUCUUUACAGCUGCUAUGAAAAAAAAUUAAGUAUCCAAUUUUCAGGUUGUGUACGGUAAUGCAUUUUUGUUUCUGUUUUUUCUGCUGGUAAUCCAUGGUUUGAUAUGAAUUGGUGUGAAUCCUAACUACAUUAAACUCUGAAUUUAAUAUAUCAGUUCCGUAGUUUCUAUGCCGCAGAAGGGGCGGCUGGUGGUGAACUCGACGGGGGACCGCAAGCAUCUGAGCAAUCCAUUGGUCAGGGUUACUCGAAAUCUCCUGCAUGGACGCGCAGGCAACCUAUUGGAUUUGGAGCACGCUAAUUUUGGUAUGUGGAUUACCUGGUCUUUUGCUCAGUUAGAGUUGUGAAUGAGCCAUGUGGUUCUUUGAUUAUGCUUAUGGAAAAACAAUCUGUAUAAUGGUGCAAUUACAAAUAGUGGAAAUUGGGAGCUGCUGAGCAUUCCAGAUAGAAGAAUGCAUUUUUUGUGUACAGUACAUGGCAUAGUUAGUCCUGCUUGGUAGAUUAUGUGCUGAAGUACACAAAACAAAUCUGAACGCAUUCUUUGUCUUGUAUGAGAAAUUCAGUCUUGUAAAUCGCUGACGACAGUAUGAAAAUUUAGUAGCAACAAACAUAACGCAUACAAAAGUGGCAUCGCCGAGUAGAUGCAGUGGAAGUUCAGUAAUUUGGUUUAGACAUGUGUUUGUAUUUUGGUUCUGAUUUGAUAAGCUGUAGAUGGAAUUUUGUGUGAUAACAUGCAGUGUGAAUGUUCAGUAAAUUGGUCUGUAUGUUCUUUUUAGUUCGUUGUGCUUCAGUAUUGUGAUAACAUGCAGUGUCAGCUGUCAGGAUUACCUUAGGGCAUAAUAUGUGGUGACCACAAUUCAUGUGGUGGCCACAUUACAGAUUAUUUGUUGCUGACAAAAGCUACCUGGAAACCCAGAUCUCUGAAUAUUUGGUACCCUGUUUUUUCAAAAUUAGAUGAUACUACGAGUGUUGCCACGGAAUCGAUUGCAAUAUAUUUCAAUGAGAUUAGAUUAUGUGGAACACUUCGUUUAAUAACACAAGAACCAAAAUUUAAAUACAUACGGCUUGCUAUAUUUGAUGGUGAGUGAAGCGUUGGGGAGCUUGACAGCUCGCCUAACUGAAUCUAGGAAUGCAGAGCAUGUUGUAUGAAUUGACACAUGUUUAAUAUUGCUUGCUGAAUGGACAAUAAUAUUAAAUGCUAGUUGGCUUGGAAGUAGAACUGCUGACAACUGUAUCCAAUUCGAAGGACUAGAGCAGAAGAAACUUAGGUUGUAUACAUAUAUUGCCGCAGAGUCAUGGCUAAGCUGUAUCUGUUCUCCAUUAAUCCACUGCCUAGUGUAGUGAUAGGAAAACUGAAGACUGGUCCGGAGGUGUUGCAAAGAGCAGCACAAUGGCUCCUUCCGUGCUACGCAGCUCUGCACCGGCUAUCACAGAAUCAGAUUCGGAUGCAAGUUCGAAGCAAGAUCUAUUGACAGCAGAGGCCACAGAUCGUGCGUCCGCAGAUGUAGCAGCAAAUGUGGUAGUCGUUUGCGCAGAAGGUCAAAUUCAAAUAUAGAGAAGUUUGGUACGCCUCAUAUUCCUGGAACAGAGAGAUCGAGUACUGUCAUUGAAAGAAAAAUAGGUUCAACCCUUGAAAGUAUCAUUUGAAACAUUCAAUGCUAAUACUCCCUCCUCUUUAUUUAUUCUGUCAAACUUUGUAAAGGUAGAGUUUGGCCAGGUUUACAGAAAACAAUAUGAACAUAUAUAUUUCUUGAUGAAUCUAAUGGUUUUGCUUUGGUAUUGUA